UACGUAGGGUGCAAGCGUUGUCCGGAAUUAUUGGGCGUAAAGAGCUCGUAGGCGGUCUGUUGCGUCGGCUGUGAAAACCCGGGGCUCAACCCCGGGCCUGCAGCCGAUACGGGCAGACUAGAGUUCGGCAGGGGAGACUGGAAUUCCUGGUGUAGCGGUGAAAUGUGUUGAUAUCAUCAGGAACUCCGGUGGCGAAAGCGGCAUGCUGGACCUUCACUGACGCUGAUGCGCGAAAGCUAGGGGAGCGAACGGG
rnacentral:rRNA from 1 species